rnacentral:rRNA from 1 species
UGGGGAAUAUUGGACAAUGGGCGCAAGCCUGAUCCAGCCAUGCCGCGUGAGUGAAGAAGGCCCUCGGGUUGUAAAGCUCUUUUGUCCGGAAAGAAAAGCUUUCGGUUAAUACCCGGAAGUCCUGACGGUACCGGAAGAAUAAGCACCGGCUAACUACGUGCCAGCAGCCGCGGUAAUACGUAGGGUGCAAGCGUUAUUCGGAAUUACUGGGCGUAAAGCGUGCGCAGGCGGUUAUGUAAGACAGGUGUGAAAUCCCAGGGCUUAACCUUGGAACUGCAUUUGUGACUGCAUAGCUAGAGUACGGUAGAGGGGGAUGGAAUUCCGCGUGUAGCAGUGAAAUGCGUAGAUAUGCGGAGGAACACCGAUGGCGAAGGCAAUCCCCUGGACCUGUACUGACGCUCAUGCACGAAAGCGUGGGGAGCAAA